AUCUGGGGGUGAUUCUGUGGUGAGGGGAAAUGAGAAGAAUCUGGUGAGUCUAUAGCUCAGAGGUUGAAGGCCAGCAGUUUUCUCCUGCAGUCCUUGUCUCUGACCAAAGAGGCACCAGAUGGCAGCAUUUUUCCCUCACUGAGUGUGAUCUCAUCCUCUCGGAUUCACUCCUGGGAUCAUCAGGCUUUGAGGCUGUGUAAGCCACAAUGACCUCAGCUGAACUGCACCUUCCCUGUUGCCACCUGCUCCUUUUUCCUACUUUUAUUGGACGUGCAGAGUCACAUUCAGGUGGCCUGAACACAAUCCAGGCCCUUGAACUUGUGGUUGCCUUUUGCCUGUGCAGGUCUGAGAGUCCAAAAAGAAUCAUUAGCAUACAGCAAUUUCUUUCCAGUUCUGGAUUUGCCUGUACUUUGCCACAAACUAGUAUAUGCAAAGAGGACAGAUGUAGCUUUAUGCCCGAGAUGUGUGAAAUAAAUGCAAUGGAAGUAUAUGAGCAUCUCACCUGAAAGCGGAAUGACACUGCACCACUGGAAGACAAUUGUGUUGGUUUCACCUUACCCUCUAAAAAAGGACGCAAAGAAAUUUAAAUAUAUCUCCACAUUUUUUAAUGAUUGAUGCAAUCCCUUGUGCACAGUUGCUUCACAAAGUGGAAGAAAGAUUAACUGUAAAUGCUUUCUUUUGUCUAACUAUAGCACUGUAAUUACUAUUUCGCACCUUCUCUGAGAAAGACAAGCAGGUGCCUGUGAUGAGCUUUGCAAGAGGAGAGAUGCUGAGAAGGUAAAAAGAGUGUCUGGUGUCACUCAGUAUGGAACAUUACAGUUUGCCAUUAUUUAUUUUGGAACUGUGACAACUGACUGAAAAAUGGGAACUAUAAAUAGGAAUGCAAUGAGCAUUAGCUGCACAAGAAGAAAAAAACCAAUGUAACUUGCCAUGCAGCAAAACGUGUAUCUGGCAUAGCAUACAGCUGUCCCUACAACUCCCACUGCCAUCCUGGGGGAUUUUGCUGAUUUCCCACUACUUACAAGGAAUUGGGAACAGCACCAUCUCUGUUAUCUUUAAUUCUUACUCAGUAGAGCUGGCUCACAUAGGUCCUGCUAAACCUUUACCUAAGAAAGAUGGAAGUCUCCUCCUACACAUAAAUUACAGGGAGAAGAUUGUUUGUUUUGUGAAGUGUAACUGCUAUGUACCGUUCACAGGCUGCAUCUUGCACAGUAAGUGAAAUAACUGUUGGAACAAGCUGAUGGAAUCAGUGCUUCCCUUUGCUGCAGUUCAGAAUGAAAACACUAAACGGGGUCAAAUGCUGCCUAGCAGAGUUCAUUGUGUUUUUGCUUCUAGACUGGCAUGGCUGGAGGAUGCACCUGUAAAAAUUCAGUGCAUGCUAGCUUUGAAUGGACUGAGAUAGAGACCUUGGUGGUUUUGCAGCAGAAACACAUUUUCCACUGACUCCUGAGCUUAGCCUUCACUCCAGGGGUAAAUUAUGUCAAUCUGGCAUGUGAUAGCAUGCAACUCAACACACCUACCUUUCCUUCUGUGUAUACAUUGCUACAAGAUGCAUACAAAACAUGGUGAGUGCCCUCAGAACAUCAUGCCCUGAAAGAAAAUAUGUAGUUGAGUGUUUUGGCCAUCCUCAUUUUCCCUUCUUAUCCUUGUAGCCCUUCUUAUAUGGCCUUAGCCACAGACAAACAUUGUUGUGUUUUUUUUUCCCAUAGCAGACAGUGACAAUUACAGGUGUUAGCAUAUGAUGUUGGAAUAGGAGGCUGCAAAGAGUGGCUGGGAAGAAGUUGUUACCAUGCCCUAUGUCCAAAAAAUAAGCAAAAGUAAACAUUUGAUUAGGAGAGGCAAAACAAGAUAUACAUGGAAUAAAAUCUAAGUUUUCUCGAGAGGCACAAGAAUACUGUUGUAAGAACUUCUGCCACUGAUCAUAUUAGAGUUGUUGUGAUAGGACUAUGGCUGAUAUACUGCGCAUGACUUCUCUCUUGUUGCCUGUUCUUCACGGAUUGUCCUGCACAGAAAAACUACAGGUAUUGCAAAGGGACAGUUGGCUCCAUUCCAACCCAAACUAUAGCCUGGACUGUUCUCCUGAGCUGGGCUAGAUGUGGCUCCUGUCCACACAGUGAAUUUUGAAUGCCUGAAGAUGUCUUUAACAAGUAACAGUAGCACUGUAUUGUGUAGGCAAGGAUGUAACACACUUGUACUUGCUUAUUUUGUUUCUCAGUUGGGAAAAGUGGGCUUUCUUUGUUUGGAAUUAUACUUCUGUCUUCAGUGAGUGCUUCAGUGAGUGCUUCUUAGGAGCUGAAGUAGAGCUAGCCUCACUCAUAACAUACGUAAGAUUUAAGCAGAGUUUUUCCCACCUGAAUGGGACCAGAUCAUUUCCACUGCCAGCUGAACAGCAGAACAUCAGCCAGAAAAAACAUUAAGUGCAUUUACAUGUUUGAUGCUAACGGCCAGAGAAGGAAGAAUGGAUAAAUGGUGUUUACUCAAUUUGUCCUCAAGCACAACAAAGUACACAGCUUCCUUUAAUAAACCUCUGUAGCACAGGCAAGAGGCAAUGGUUCUGGUCCCUGGGGCUCAUGAUAAUUUGCCAAAAUGAAACACAGAGGUCUCGGAUGGUUUGUGCAUUGUUUAUUGUAGCUUUUACCGCUGUAGCCAGAUUCUCCAAACUACCAUUUUGUUUUUUCAAUGGAGGUUUCAGAAGAGAUUUUGUAAACAAAAAAAUACCCCAAACAAAACUGCUAGAGGGUGAAUGGCUGCUAGCAACUGAUUUCUUAGAGGAGGUAAGUUUAUAAGUGAUUGGAAAAAGGCAAAGGGUCUCUGGUUACACACGUGUGGACACACCUUUGCACUGCUCCUCAGGAGUGUCCACAUGGAUGAAGCUUGCCUUGGGGUUGCAGUGACCCCCUGCACUGUGUGCCCAGCACCUGGCUAAACUGAUGUCUUGUUCUGCAGACUAAAAGGUGUCCUUCAGCUGCUGGGAAUUUAACACAACUUCUGGAUUAAGUAGGAAAAGGGUAACUAUUUCUGUUUAAACAUCUGGAUCAUUCAGAUGAGACCGGUUGGUCAGCACAGACACACAAUCCUCUUUCUGGUCGGCACUAGGGAUAUCCAGUGGACUUUCCCUAGAUGCACACUUGACAAAGAGCGAAAAGGAAAGCAACUCAAGCCCAUCUCAAGGGUGGGUUAUUUGCUCCGGCAUCGACCUGCAUUCCCUUCCUCAUCACACAUCCCAGUUCCUGCCCGGGACGGCUUCUUCUCGCGUGCCAGCUGCUCGGGCCUGUGGCAGCGGGGUAGAGGGCAGAGGACACGGGCAGCCAGCGCUAGAGGAGCAGGAAUUCUGUCAGAGAACGGGGAGAACCCAAACCCACCACUACAAAAAGUAAGAUAAUUGCACAAAGCCCCAAAACUAAGGAACGGGCCCGCGGCCUGGCAGCACCGACCAGCUUUCCGCGGGCGGCCUCCCCGGGCUGCGGGAGCGACCGCAGCCAGCCGGGAGCAGUGGGAGGAGGAGGAGGAGGAGCGGAGGGAGGAGGCAGCGCUGGCAGCCGGGCGGGGAGGGGGCACUCGGCGCCGAGGAGGAGGACUAAGAUGGCCACCAGCCGCCGC